rnacentral:rRNA from 1 species
GCGGGGGAUAACACCUGGAAACAGAUGCUAAUACCGCAUAACAACUUGGACCGCAUGGUCCGAGUUUGAAAGAUGGCUUCGGCUAUCACUUUUGGAUGGUCCCGCGGCGUAUUAGCUAGAUGGUGGGGUAACGGCUCACCAUGGCAACGAUGCGUAGCCGACCUGAGAGGGUGAUCGGCCACACUGGAACUGAGACACGGUCCAG